CUCUGAUAGGCCUCAAAGCUUCAAGUCUUUUGGGAGAGAAAAGCUCAAGGGUGCAAACCUUUCGAACCUUAACAUAGUGAGGUCCAUAAUCAGCCCAUAUAAGGUCUUUACCGUCUCUGCUAAACUUGGCAGCUGAUCGACUCCUAUGUCUAUCAGCUAACUGUUGAUCAUUUUCCUUGAGCACUUCCUUUGCCAAUUCUGUAUUGGAAACAAUCACGUUAAGAGUUGAACCGAACCAAACUGAGAUGAUAGGACCAUAUGCCUGAGCCCACUCUGCAAAGCACCGGAACCUCACAGGCUUGACGUCAUAAAGGUUGCCUACUAUUGGCCAUGGUCUUGGCCCUGGUGGGAGCUUGAAGCGUAGACGUUGGU
rnacentral:lncRNA from 1 species